GAAACUGAAGUAAAUCUUUUUUGUUUCAACUGAACAGUUUUAUGCCAUAAAUCCAUUUUCUUUUUCACUCUGCUCUAGAAUGUUGAGUCAGAUAUUGAAGCCAGAGCUUUGUAUCUAAGUCAAAGACCACUAGUGUUUGAUAGUGUUUACAGAGGAGAAGAUGUCCCAGCACAGUCCAAAAUUCAUAAAGACUGUGUCUCAGCUAUACGUAAGAGUUGGUCUUGGAUU
rnacentral:sRNA from 1 species